rnacentral:lncRNA from 1 species
AAAACUUGAAUUCAAUCACAAACGAAUAAGAAGAUGCAAGUUCGACCACUUGAAUUCAAUGCUGAGUGAAGUGUCCCCAGCAUUUUGAAUCCUAAAACUGAAAUACACUUCUUUAAAUUCUGAAACUGAAAGGUGUCCCUAGUUUUCUGAAACUGAAACAAGUAUCAACAUGUGUUCUGAAACAUGCGAGCAGGGGAACAUCUAAGUGUCUCUAAUAUCAAAUAUGGCCUAUAAAAAUCUACAUCAAGACUAGCAGCAUGUGUUCUUCUCACAUCGUCAAAAUGCCAUGCCCAGUCAUGCCUUGGACGAGGAACUUUGGCAACAAAAGAAAAUGUCACCAAUUGAAGAGAGUCUCUGGCAAGGUGGCAACCACACCUAACAGGUCAGACAUGACCUGCACAAUUGCCAUAGGGAACAACAUUAUAUUAAUUAAUUUCCAAUCAACAGUUGCAGCUUCUGUGAAAGACUUAAACAAAAUGAAGGCAAGAAAUAUAGAUGAGUGUUGGUGAAUAGACUAUUUUGCUCCAGGUUGCUGCACAAGACACCGCGACUACUCCGUCUAAAGAAACCCAAUGACAUAAUAGAACUUUGAAAUGAUAAAUAAGCAGCAAAGUGUGCCGCUCAUUAAAUAAGAAGUAUUAAUUUACAGACUUCGAAUAUAUCAUAAGCAAAAGGUCAUGUACAAGCAUAUAUCAAUUAGGGCUGACUAAAACAUUCAGAAUAUUCUCUAUUUGUGCAAAUAUCGAACAAAAUUAGCUCACACCUUCAACCGACCAUUCCCUCUUCUCUCUUUAAAAUUAGUAUGAAGGCAAUGAGGACAUCCAAUCUACCAUGAUAAGUUACUAAAAACAAGAAACAUAAGUUACUAAACAAGCAUGCACAUCAAGUCUCAACUACUCCAAGAAGCGGCCACCUUGCAAUCACUAGCAUUUGUUUUUGUUGUCUAAAGCUGACAAAGCUCAAGUGUUUGCUACUUGUCCUCCGGCUGGGAAGCUCCAGCCUGCAAUAUGAAUGUAGAUUUUGGAGCCAUGCAUGCCUGUAGGUUGCAGAAUAGGAGGGAGGGAGGGAAUUGAUCGCAAAAAUUGCCUGAUCCAAAACGCUGCAGAUAAGUUCCAAGCGAAUAUCUCCUAGGCUGCCUAGUGAUUCCACCGAGAUGCAGAUGACAUCGGCUUAGCGAUGGGGCUCCUGCUCUCUCAUGCAGCGCUCGCCGGCGAUGGGGCUCCAGCUCCGCAGCUGUUGGCUGCGCCAGGCAAAGUUCUUGUGCGGCAUUGGGGAUCUUAGAUCUGCCUGUCGACUACAAAUUAUCGGACCCUAGAUGUGAUAGGAGAAACAGAGGAAAGAGAAUACCGAUGAGAAGGCAGCCGUCGGAGGAGAUCGACGCCGGAGAGAGGAAUCUCGUGUCAUAUACACCGUCGUCGUCGCCUACUCUUCACAUCUGAUGUUUCGCGGGCGCCGUUCCACCCCUAAGAGACCGGGCGUCGUUCCAGACCAGGGGCAAUGAAAAAAUCAUGAACUUGACCGGGCACAGUUU